UCCUGGCUCAGGAUGAACGCUGGCGGCGUGCCUAACACAUGCAAGUCGAACGGAGUUAAUAAAGUAGAUUACUACAUUAUUAACUUAGUGGCGGACGGGUGAGUAACGCGUGGAUAACCUACCUUACACAGGGGGAUAACACCGAGAAAUCGGUGCUAAUACCGCAUAAGUAAGUAUGUCGCAUGGCAUAGUUAUGAAAGCUGAGGCGGUGUAAGAUGGGUCCGCGUCUGAUUAGCUAGUUGGUGGGAUAAAAGCUCACCAAGGCAACGAUCAGUAGCCGGCUUGAGAGAGUGAACGGCCACACUGGGACUGAGACACGGCCCAGACUCCUACGGGAGGCAGCAGUGGGGAAUAUUGCACAAUGGGGGAAACCCUGAUGCAGCGACGCCGCGUGAAGGAAGAAGGUCUUCGGAUCGUAAACUUCUAUCAGCAGGGAAGAAGGAAGUGACGGUACCUGACUAAGAAGCCCCGGCUAACUACGUGCCAGCAGCCGCGGUAAUACGUAGGGGGCAAGCGUUAUCCGGAAUCACUGGGUGUAAAGGGUGCGUAGGCGGUAGGGCAAGUCAGAUGUGAAAGCCCGGGGCUCAACUCCGGGAUUGCAUUUGAAACUGUCUUACUAGAGUGCAGGAGAGGGAAGCGGAAUUCCUAGUGUAGCGGUGAAAUGCGUAGAUAUUAGGAAGAACACCAGUGGCGAAGGCGGCUUUCUGGACUGUAACUGACGCUGAGGCACGAAAGCGUGGGGGAGCGAACAGGAUUAGAUACCCUGGUAGUCCACGCCGUAAACGAUGAGUGCUAAGUGUUAGAGGGUUUCCGCCCUUUAGUGCUGUAGCUAACGCAUUAAGCACUCCGCCUGGGGAGUA
rnacentral:rRNA from 2 species